AGCGAACGUUGGCAGUGUGUCUUAAGCAUGCAAGUCGAACGGCAGCAGGCCAUGUAGCAAUAUAUGGUGCUGGCGAGUAGCGAACUGGUGAGUAACACGUAAGAAUCUGCCCUAAGGUGGGGGAUAACUCAUGGAAACUUAUGAGCUAAUACCGCAUAAUGCGAAGCUUAUAGAGAUAUAAGUUUUGUUAAAGGAGAAAUCCGCCAUAGGAUGAGCUUGCGUCCCAUUAGCUAGUUGGCGGGGUAAAUGCCCACCAAGGCUAUGAUGGGUAGCUGGCCUGAGAGGGUGGUCAGCCACACUGGGACUGAGAUACGGCCCAGACUCCUACGGGAGGCAGCAGCUAAGAAUCUUCCUCAAUGGGGAAACCCUGAAGGAGCGACACUGCGUGCAGGGAUGAAGGCCCUUUGGGUUGUAAACUGCUUUUGCAGGGGAGAAAUACCGAAUGGGAUGAUAGUACUCUGCGAAUAAGUCCCGGCUAAC
rnacentral:rRNA from 1 species